rnacentral:piRNA from 1 species
UUGCUGCAAGGUGGAAUUGGGGACC